rnacentral:lncRNA from 1 species
AAAGUGUAUACUAGAAGAAAGUCAGUGGCAGGAAGAUCAUCUAGGCAUUGGAGGGCUGCUCUGGGGAAGCAAAAGGCAUGCAUUUGGGAAGCUUAGAACCAUUAUAGGUAAAACAUGAGUCAUGCCUGUAGACAGUGAUCCUAGUCUUGACUGUUAAUUAUCUGCAUUUUGGUUUUUGAACCUUUUGUAUUUAAUAGGUGGGAUUAUGUGGUUUCGUAAUUAAAUACCGAUAUGUUUUACAUAAAACUAUUGGAAUUGGAUUUUCUGUGCUUGGAAGUCUGUGUCGGAUGAGUUGUGCCUUUUUAUUUCAAUAUUACUAUUGCAGACUCUUCCUCUCCAAGAUCAUAGACAUUGUCUCCAGAAAGGUGGAGACAGUUGGUGACGUGCCCCUCUUGCCAUUUACCUAGACUCAAAAGAUAACAAUGCUUUCAAUUAAUUUACAGGGGUUUGGUAGCUCUAUUUAAAUGAAAAAGUUAUUGUUUCUGCUUAGUCCAGUUUAUUCUUCUGAUUCUCUUGCUUCUCAUUGUGUGCUGCUUCUCCCUAGUUAUGACUGCAGGACACAUACAGGAAUUUGCAUGCUUCACUGACUUUGACAAAGAGCUGGUUUGUCACUGGAAGGUGCCAGCACAAACUAACUGUUCCAAAGAAUUCCUGCUCUGCUACAGCAAGGACAUUUCUUCUGUGUCAAACGUGUGUGUUCCUGAGAAUGGAAAAGACAGGUGCAUUUGCACAAUAUGUCCCGAUUAUUUUGUAUCAGGCCUCACAUAUGUUUUAGCUCUACAGUUCAAUGGGACUGAUGUAUGGAACUACAAUGUUACACCAGCCCUUGUUGGUAAGAAAUUGUUUAGAUGUCUGGUUCCAGGCUUUGCAAUCCUAGAUUACUGUUCAUUCGUGUCACCGGAGCAGUUUUUCCUUAUCAGAGGUGGAAAGUGCCACACUGGCUUAAAUGCAAGAUCUGUUUGUCUUAGAAACCUAAUUCUGGAUUAGAUUCCUAAGGAAUGAGUGUAAGUAAUGGGGAAAGCAGAGAGUGAUUCUUUGUCUAGCUGUACCCUCUCAGCUGUGAGCCAGCAGCAGUUUGGGGUCUUAGAUUUUAAUGCUUUUUACUUGUGGCUGUAGAAUUACAGGAUAAAGAGGAAUGUGUUACUUUCAGUUUCUAGAAAGACACUAGGCUAUCCCUGCUGAAACUUCUUCCAUUUCUAUCUCUGUCAUACUCUGAUUUUUCAUGCAAGUUAAAUCAUGGACAGAAGAUUUUUUUACAAUAAUUGCUGUUAUAUUAUAACAGUCAGUGAUUAAAAGUGCAUAAAUCUGCUCUCUCACAGGACAGGGUGUAGAUACAGUUCAUGUCUCUCCCUAGGCCCCCAGUUUGUUCAGAACAGUGUAGCAUUGUUAACAGAUGGAGCUCGUCAGCCCUGUGAGGCAAUCCAUCUAAGAGAAGGUCACUCUAAACAAACCUACGUU